rnacentral:rRNA from 1 species
UACAGAGGUCCCGAGCGUUGUUCGGAUUCACUGGGCGUAAAGGGUGCGUAGGUGGUGAGGUAAGUCGGAUGUGAAAUCUCCGGGCUCAACCCGGAAAUGGCAUUGGAAACUACCUUGCUAGAGGAUUUGAGGGGGGAUUGGAAUACUUGGUGUAGCAGUGAAAUGCGUAGAUAUCAAGUGGAACACCAGUGGCGAAGGCGAAUCCCUGGAAAACACCUGACACUGAGGCACGAAAGCUAGGGGAGCAAACGGG